UGUUCUGUGUUGAUCAUUAGGAAUCAGCUACAUGGGUGCAGUUCCCUAGGGUAUUAUUAAAUACCAUCAGCUGAGGGUUGGUUUAUGGGCUGAAACUCUCCUUACCUUCUGUACCUGCAUCUAGUUUUGCCCUUGCAAUAAUACUUUUGAUAGUGACAGCUUUCCCUUGAGGAGUGAAGCAGCCACAAACCCUGGGAUGUAAUGACAAAAUCCACCAAAGCCUCAACAUCUAACACACAACACUCUGGGAUUAUCAGUCAUAGAGGUGGUUGCCAUGAAGCUAUUGUUAGGUGUGCUGUUCCUUUGGUUGCUCUCCUCAGAAGGUAAGUUUUGGAAGGCCCUUUGAAAAUUUGCAUUGCACAGUAUUUGGGAAUCUCUAUUUUUAGUUGCUGCAAGGUGGUUGUAUAGCAGGAGUUUUAGAAGCAGGAUGAGAAAAUCUGUGAGUUAAACUGUGAUCUUAAACGCAGUUUUGGGUAUGUUUGAUCAUUUUUGGAGGAAGAUGUAUUCAUUGGUUUGCACUGUUCUGGGGAUAGACUGUGUCUUAGGCACUGAAGCAUUCUGGUGAGAGAAACAUCACCAAACAAUUAGACUAGCAGUGAGAUUGUGCCAAAAUGGUGCAGAAAUUCAAGCAAGGAACAGAGGCUUUCUAUGAAUUCAUAACUAUGGUCAUCUUCUUUUCAGUGAUAGAAGAUCAAGUGAAAGGUUAGUCAGCAUCCUGGCAUUCCAGGCAUUGUUCAGAUUUCUGUAAUAUUCAGGGUAGGGGGGAGCCUUUGUUCACUAUACUGGGUCUCUGAAGUCCAUGUUUGGUGCCAAUUACAGUUUUGUCGGUGCUCAAGACUGAAAAUGCUGUGUAUGCUUUGGCUUUAUUGACUCUGUGCUUCAGGUCUCUGCCUGUAAGAAAAUAAUGAUAACUGGUAAUAGUGUUUUACCUUAGCAGUAG
rnacentral:lncRNA from 1 species